rnacentral:lncRNA from 1 species
CAGGCAUUUUAAAUUUGGGGCCCUUCAGUUUCCCUUCUGGACCAUGAAUAUCAAUAUCAGGAGUGUCAAUGUCCACUUUGGGUCCUGAGACAUCAAUGUCAGCUUUGGGCAAAUUAACAUCCACUUCUGGGCCCUCUCCUUUAAAUCCUGGCAUGCUGAAUUUGGGCAUUUUCACCUUGGGCAUCUUCAGGUGCCAGUCUGGGCCUUGAACAUCAACAUCUGGAGCAUUAAUGUCCACUUUGGGGCCCUUGAUGUCAACUUCAGGACCCUUGAGGUCACCUUCC